rnacentral:rRNA from 1 species
GACGAACGUUGGCGGCGUGCUUAACACAUGCAAGUCGAACGGAAAGGCCCUGCUUUUGUGGGGUGCACGAGUGGCGAACGGGUGAGUAACACGUGAGUAACCUGCCCUUGACUUUGGGAUAACUUCAGGAAACUGGGGCUAAUACCGGAUAGGAGCUCCUGCUGCAUGGUGGGGGUUGGAAAGUUUCGGCGGUUGGGGAUGGACUCGCGGCUUAUCAGCUUGUUGGUGGGGUAGUGGCUUACCAAGGCUUUGACGGGUAGCCGGCCUGAGAGGGUGACCGGCCACAUUGGGACUGAGAUACGGCCCAGACUCCUACGGGAGGCAGCAGUGGGGAAUAUUGCACAAUGGGCGGAAGCCUGAUGCAGCAACGCCGCGUGCGGGAUGACGGCCUUCGGGUUGUAAACCGCUUUCGCCUGUGACGAAGCGUGAGUGACGGUAAUGGGUAAAGAAGCACCGGCUAACUACGUGCCAGCAGCCGCGGUGAUACGUAGGGUGCGAGCGUUGUCCGGAUUUAUUGGGCGUAAAGGGCUCGUAGGUGGUUGAUCGCGUCGGAAGUGUAAUCUUGGGGCUUAACCCCUGAGCGUGCUUUCGAUACGGGUUGACUUGAGGAAAGUAGGGGAGAAUGGAAUUCCUGGUGGAGCGGUGGAAUGCGCAGAUAUCAGGAGGAACACCAGUGGCGAAGGCGGUUCUCUGGGCCUUUCCUGACGCUGAGGAGCGAAAGCGUGGGGAGCGAACAGGCUUAGAUACCCUGGUAGUCCACGCUGUAAACGGUGGGUACUAGGUGUGGGGUCCAUUCCACGGGUUCCGUGCCGUAGCUAACGCUUUAAGUACCCCGCCUGGGGAGUACGGCCGCAAGGCUAAAACUCAAAGGAAUUGACGGGGCCCCGCACAAGCGGCGGAGCAUGCGGAUUAAUUCGAUGCAACGCGUAGAACCUUACCUGGGUUUGACAUGGAUCGGGAGUGCCCAGAGAUGGGUGUGCCUCUUUUGGGGUCGGUUCACAGGUGGUGCAUGGCUGUCGUCAGCUCGUGUCGUGAGAUGUUGGGUUAAGUCCCGCAACGAGCGCAACCCUUGUUCACUGUUGCCAGCACGUUAUGGUGGGGACUCAGUGGAGACCGCCGGGGUCAACUCGGAGGAAGGUGGGGAUGACGUCAAGUCAUCAUGCCCCUUAUGUCCAGGGCUUCACGCAUGCUACAAUGGCUGGUACAGAGAGUGGCGAGCCUGUGAGGGUGAGCGAAUCUCGGAAAGCCGGUCUCAGUUCGGAUUGGGGUCUGCAACUCGACCUCAUGAAGUCGGAGUCGCUAGUAAUCGCAGAUCAGCAACGCUGCGGUGAAUACGUUCCCGGGGCU